UUAAUUCAAAUACUUAUCUCUGUUGCCUAUGACAUUCACAUCAAAUGGUAUUUCCUCAUCCAUCUAUCAUCCGCUUCUCUCAUCUAUAUCUCCAGUCACGCUUCACUGCUCCUCUAAUUUUCUCUCUCUUUUUUUUUUUUUUUCGCAGAUCAAGCAUAGAUUGUUUCAUUAGCUUCGAAAUUCCUAUCCACAAUCCAUCUUUUCUGAAUAGCAAAGAGUAGAUGAGAGAAUCAAAAGUGUGUCCAACAAAAGUUACUAGAAGAUCUAGGAAGCAAAAAACUCAUUCCAAGUUCGCUGUAUUGGACAAGGGAACCGAAAUCUAUUCUAAUUUAAAAGAGAUCAGUGACUCAAAUAUGUUGGCGCCACACCAAAUCCAAGAUAAGGUUCUGAAGGAUGGCUAGAAGAAGAACGAGAAGACUAUAUCUAGAUAUCUCUAAUAGCAACCUCUGAGGACAACCAUCCAAAGGCAAGAUGGAAUGUGGGGUACUACUGCAAGUGUUGCCUUGAAAAGAAAAGACUGCAGUUGAUUCAAAUGCUCCAGCUACUGCUUGCAGUGCACAGAAGACUGAGACAGGGCUGAUGAAUAACUUUAUAUGUAAUAACAUUAUAACCUUAUUUCACAAAGAUCAAGGUCCUUAAUGUUUUUCUUUUAAUAUGUUUUUUUAUUUAUUUAAAUGGAUGUAGUUUAUUUAAAGAUAUGUAAAGCAUUCUUGUGUUUGCAUGU